GUGAUGAAGGCCUUCGGNGUGUAAAGCNCUGUCCGGAGGGAAGAAAACCCGUUGGCUAACAUCCAACGGCUUGACGGUACCUCGAGAAGAAGCACCGGCUAACUCUGUGCCAGCAGCCGCGGUAAUA
rnacentral:rRNA from 1 species